rnacentral:lncRNA from 1 species
GUCUUACCCGUUCCUGUGAAAUCAGUGGCUGGAUGAAGAAGAGAGGCCUGAAGGGAAGCUUGCCGCUUACAGGACAUCAGCCCUUCUGCAGGCAGAGAGGCAGUAACCAUCCACCUGACCCCCAAAAAGACGCUUGAUGCUAGGCGCCAACAUUUUAAAUCCGCCUCAACUGUUUGCUUCCUUCCGCCGUGACAAGUUUCUCCCUCCUUGGGCGCAAUGAGCACGCGGUGUGAUCCGGCUCUCGGACGCUUCCCUUCGCUCCGUGAGCUUCCAGGUAAAGCACGCUAUGCUCGUUCGGGUCUUGGAUUUUGCGUGCGUGCUCAUGCAGCCUUUCUCUUCCCGGCAGGUGCAGAAAUUGUUCGGCGCGUGAAACGUGCGAACUGGCGGCGCGUGGAGGGAGGUAAUGGAAGAAUUGUCAAAUCAUGCCCAGGACAAUGUAACCGGGGAUCUCAGGAGUGAAGAAAAACAGGUAAGAGAUGCAGAUCUACAGUUCUGCCUCCACCAAAAGACUCAGGUUGAAGAAGAAAACCAGGCCCAGGAGAGAGGAAAGACUAUCAUUAAGGGAAACGGGAGAUGAACGAAACAGCUCUCUGUGACCUAAACCAUUGUAUUUACUGAACCUUUCGAUUAUAACUGUGGCUGUUAAGAAAAAUGCAGCAGAAAGAAUUAGAGGAAUGAGAAGAACACGAUUCCCUUUAUUCAUUUAACCUUUGCUUUAUAUGAAAUUCUCCAAUUCCAGCUCGUUUUCACUGCAAAGAAUAAAA